rnacentral:misc_RNA from 1 species
AAGUCGUAACAAGGUUUCCGUAGGUGAACCUGCGGAAGGAUCAUUAUCGAGAUAGGGUUCUCACGAGCCCGACCUCCAACCCUUUGUCUACCAAACCUCUGUUGCCUCGGCGGGCCGCCGACCCUUUUAUUAGGGUCGCCGUCGGCCUCGUGCUCUCGAGCGCCCGCCGCAGGACCUAUUAAAACUCUUUUGAAAACGAGUCUUCUGAGUGAAAUUUAAUGCUUCAAAAAAACUUUCAACAACGGAUCUCUUGGUUCUG